ACUCAAAUGAAUUGACGGGGACCCGCACAAGCGGUGGAUGAUGUGGAUUAAUUCGAUGCAACGCGAAAAACCUUACCUACCCUUGACAUGUCCAGAACCCUGCUGAAAGGUGGGGGUGCCCGAAAGGGAAUUGGAACACAGGUGCUGCAUGGCUGUCGUCAGCUCGUGUCGUGAGAUGUUGGGUUAAGUCCCGCAACGAGCGCAACCCUUGUCCUUAGUUGCUACGCAAGGGCACUCUAAGGAGACUGCCGGUGACAAACCGGAGGAAGGUGGGGAUGACGUCAAGUCCUCAUGGCCCUUAUGGGUAGGGCUUCACACGUCAUACAAUGGUCGGUACAGAGGGUAGCCAACCCGCGAGGGGGAGCCAAUCCCAGAAAGCCGAUCGUAGUCCGGAUCGCAGUCUGCAACUCGACUGCGUGAAGUCGGAAUCGCUAGUAAUCGCGGAUCAGCAUGUCGCGGUGAAUACGUUCCCGGGUCUUGUACACACCGCCCGU
rnacentral:rRNA from 1 species